GGGCUUUGGGGGUGGCAUGCUUUUGUUUUCAGGUUUUGUUUACGUCUAUGUCAGUCAGCAGGGAGCAGAGCUGGACGUCCGAGCUGCAACCGGACAAUAAAAGGUGUAAGAAAGCGCCGGGAUCACAAUAGAUGCUUCUGGAACCAGCUGGGGAAGGCAGACCAGGAACUUACAGGAACAAAUCUGGAACAUUUCCAGGCGUUAGAGGAGGGAGGGAGGGAGGGAGGGGUUGACAUGUGAGCCGGCCGAGCUGAAUGGCAUCAUGGGCUAAACAAAUGACAGGUGAUGUCAUGUCAUUGUCCCUUUUGUCCCAUGUUGACGCUCUGAGUAAAAAGAUGUGAUCUCACCGGUGGAUUAAAGCUUCACACCCAAAAAGAGGGUUCGGUAUUCUUCUGAGAAAUUCCACUGACAAGAAAAACUCUGUUUCAUUCCAUUAUGCCCCUUUAUAGCAUGAAAAAUAAGAUGUUCCUCUAAUAGUCCCACAGGGGGAAAUCCCAAAAUUACAGAAGCCUAGCAUAGAUACACAAAGAGAAGAAUUUAAAGAGUAAAAACAAGAUAUGUGCAUAUGUCAUAUUUACAUCUGUACAGAAUUUACAUAAUAAUCUGGUUUAUUGCACACUGAGGUUCCUGUUUUGGAGUUGAUACCUGCGAUACCUCUCUGUCACACACUUUGGAUCAGACUUGUGUUAAAUUUUUAAUCAAUCUAGUACAAACAGCACCCCAAAAUACUCAGUGUAGAACAAAUGUGUAUUAAUACGCCAAAGAAAAUAGUCCCGACAAAUGCCCUCAUUCCUCUUGUUAAAAAUAAACUAGAUUGAAAACUUCAGCUGUUUUUUAAGUCAACUGAACCUCUGCAAUAGUGAAGUUUUUAUGUUCAAUAUAACAUCUUGAUAUUUUCUCAAUAUAACAAAGAUAACUUUGUCAUGAGAACUAAGAGUAAGGAGGUGCCACUUUUAGUAUUUUGAAACUGAUUGGGAUAAAAAAAAAAUAGGAGGCUGUAUUAAUGUGACAUAGAAGGAAAAGGACACAAAUCAAGGUGCAGUAGGGACCUGAGAUAGUUUGACUGACAUGACUCUGUCGUGGAAAUCACCACAUGAGCCUGCAGAUAAUAAAAAAAGGUCUUUUACUGUGGGAUUAAUUUAAAGUUUAAAAGGUUAGCUCAACGAUUUUAAGUCAUGAUUUUUGCUGUAAAGAAAUGAAAAGGCUGCGAGAGGGAGAGAGAGAGAGAGAGAGAGAGAAGGGCUAGUAGGAUAGAAAUCCUGACCUCUCUGUUUUGAGUGGGACUGAAUCAGGAAAAGUGGAAGAAAGAGAGAGAGAGAGGGAGAGAAAGAGAGAGAGAGAGUGAGGGGGGAUAUGAAGUUUCCUGCCAAACAGCCUGGAGUGAAAAUGCUCUGAUUGUGGGAACCGUCUGCACAACGAGCUCGACAGAAACCAACACCGACCCAACAGGUAGUUCAACUGCUCAUUAAACACACGGCUGCUUUUUACAGGCUGCUGGGGCUCACUGUUUAUACUGGCAUGGACACACACACACACACACACACACACACACACACACACACACACAUUCAUAAAGUACACACACUGGAAAUACUGCAAAUAUGCUCAUGUUUUCUAUAACAGUUUUACUUCCUCCAAAACCCAGUAAAAUCUCCUCGCUUCUGCAGAUUUAAAACAAGUUUUUAUGUCUUUAUGAAAUAAUUAAAGUCCUCAUUAGUGUGUGAAGACUGCACACAAACACACACACACACACUCAUAAAGUAUGAACA
rnacentral:lncRNA from 1 species